CAGCCGCCGCGGUAAUACGUAGGUGGCAAGCGUUGUCCGGAAUUAUUGGGCGUAAAGGGCUCGCAGGCGGUUUCUUAAGUCUGAUGUGAAAGCCCCCGGCUCAACCGGGGAGGGUCAUUGGAAACUGGGAAACUUGAGUGCAGAAGAGGAGAGUGGAAUUCCAUGUGUAGCGGUGAAAUGCGUAGAGAUGUGGAGGAACACCAGUGGCGAAGGCGACUCUCUGGUCUGUAACUGACGCUGAGGAGCGAAAGCGUGGGGAGCGAACAGGAUUAGAGACCCGGGUAGUCCCUGUCUCUUAUAC
rnacentral:rRNA from 1 species